AGGGAAGAUUUCUAAAAAUAGCCAGGCCUCAGACUAAGGGAGAUGGCCAAAGAACUGUCAGGGCAAGGAUCCAGUUUCUGGUGUCAGUGACCCCAGCUGUGCCCCCCACCCACCCAGACCCCUGUCCUUCUGGUUCAGGGUGGGCAGAAUGUAAGGCCCUGAGAAGACUGGGGUACAGGGUGGAGAAGAGAGGAACUUGAAGCAGGCAGGGCUGGGAGGCUGGAGGUGUACUUCAGAGUGCUCCGCCCCACUGAGGCUGGCAGGACAGACUCCCAUCCUGAAGCCCCUCUGCUUUACCACUUCCUCUCCCGCCCACCCACACGGACACACAUAAACUCAACCCUCAUGCUUAACACUGGCUUGAGUCAUUUUCCCUCCUCCUAAAACCCAUCCCCUCUAAGUGGGCCUCCAUUUAUUUCCCUGGACAGAGACCCCCUGGAGCUACACUCCAGAAGCCAAGGAAGUUAUGCUUAGGACCAUUUUAACUGGAGAGAAACAGAGAGGUUCCAGACCUUGUGGGGGUAGACCAUCUGACUCAGGGGAUCUAGGUCCAAACCCUGUCCAUGUGACCUGAGACAAGUUGUCCCUUCUCUUCCUGCCUCCAUUUGUCCAUCUACAUCCGGUCACAGAACGUGUAGGUCACACACACACUGACCCUGAGCAUCUCUUCCCAGAAAAGCUCACAUGAUGAAACUGGAAACCUUAGUGGAGGAUAUACAGUCCAGAAGAUGUCAGGGCUCACUGCUGCCUCCUGUACCUAUGACGAGGGCCUACCUGGGCUCCCCUGUGAUGAGGGACAGAGUAAGGAGUUUCAAAGAAGAUGUUUUACAAUAGCAAUCAAUGGCUGUGUAGUUCAGGAUGGUCUUGAACUCAUGAUCUUCCUGCCUCAGCCUCCCCAGCACUGGGAUUGCAGGUGCACCCUCCCUCCCUCUCUUCUGUCUUCUUGAUUGGCAUUGCUGUCUCCACUCCACACUGGCAAACAAAGGUCCUAAGACAUGAACUGUUUGGAGGAUUCAGACUUGGAUCACAUUUGAAGACAGCCACUUGUGCACUAUAGGGUCCAGGAAGGGGUUAGUCAUGCCCAAGGUCAUCUAAGGGGACACUAAUCUGACUCUGCAUUUGUCUCAUGGACAUCAUGCCUGAGGACUGUGGAAUGGGCCAACCCUCUGAUUAGGGGGCUUCAGUCCUUCUGUCCUAAUCUGUCUCCCUCCUAAAGAGUCCCCGGCCCUAAGGACCCCUGCUGGGAAGUACCCAAGACCCACCACCCCAUUGCAUCAGACAACACUCUGGUCUGGAAAGCCACGCCCUGUCCCGACAGAUCAGAGGCGGGCAGAGCUAAGUGGUCACAGGCAUACUUCCAGUCACAGAGCUAGGGGUAGCAGCCUGGACUGAGCCCUGGCAUCACAGUCCUUACCCAAGGAAGUCUGUUGGGACUAGAGAUUCUGGUAUUUGCUGGGAACCGUCCCUGUUUGCACGCACUAGGUUCCAUGGAAAAACCCAAACCUUGCAUCAGCUAGCCAAUCGGCUCUGCUAAGAGCCUCUCUUUCAGCUUCUCUGGCUUUCCCCACCCGUUAUCUGACUCAUCUCCCAACAGUCCCGGGGGACAGGAGACAGCAGGCUUCCGGUCCCUGUUGCAUGGAUGGAGAGACGGGCAGGAAGGGGCUUCCUGCAAUGAGUCAGGGGCUAGAGCUGGCACCAUCCCAGAUUUCCUUUUCUGAGGCUCUGAGAGGUUAAAGCAACGUAUGUAAGGACGCGCAGCCUAGUCCUUGUUCCAACAGGCUGGAGACAACAGGGGAGGCAAGCGGCUUAGAACUGUUCUCCAAACAAGUGCCCCAGCGCGUGCGCGCCCACGUAAGGCUGCCCAGGAACCCGCAGACAGACGGGACGGGCCGCACGUUUGCUCGCGAUUGCCUCAUCAGCUGAGUCUGCUCCUAGGACUCCCUGCACGUUGGACACAGAGUAGGGCGUGGCCGCCGGGGUUGUCCCGGGUCCCGGGUCCCGCAUCCUCCUUCUCAGCCCGAGUCCCCCGCGGCCCAUUAACGAGGCGGCCAGCGCUUUCUCCCAGACGCCUCUGGUGGCUGCUGCCCUUUGCUCCUGCUGCCGAGCAGACAAACGAGGGAAAUGGAGUACGCCGGCGGCCAGGCAGGAAACAACGGCCCUUUGUGUUCUUCUGCGACUUUGCCGGGCGGGGUGCGAGGGGACGUGACUCCUGCAGGAAUUUCUAAAGCUGAAGAGAUGGGGCACCCCAGGACUGCCUGCAACCGUCCUGCUAGGUCUUCCUGUCUCCCAGCGCCAGGGCCGGGCACCGGGUUGGGGUGGGGGUGGAGGUGGGGGGCGAGCUGAGACGCUCCACAGAUUCUUGUUUGAAUGGGUGUCCUCAAACUCCUCCUUUAGUGGCUUCCAGAGCCUAGGCUAGGUUUAGGGCUCACAGGCUGACAUUUGGUGUGGGAUCUCGCCUUUGAUGUGGCUUUGCUGUUUCACUUGGG
rnacentral:lncRNA from 1 species